rnacentral:rRNA from 1 species
GACAGAGGGGGCAAGCGUUGCUCGGAAUUACUGGGCGUAAAGGGCUCGUAGGCGGCCAACUAAGUCAGACGUGAAAUCCCCAGGCUCAACCUGGGAACUGCGUCUGAUACUGGAUGGCUUGAAUCCGGGAGAGGGAUGCAGAAUUCCAGGUGUAGCGGUGAAAUGCGUAGAUAUCUGGAGGAAUACCGGUGGCGAAGGCGGCAUCCUGGACCGGCAUUGACGCUGAGGAGCGAAAGCCAGGGGAGCAAACGGG